GGGUCCUAGCGAGCCCACCUCCCACCCGUGUUUACUGUAACCUUAGUUGCUUCGGCGGGCCCGCCUUUAAGGCCGCCGGGGGGCAUCAGCCCCCGGGCCCGCGCCCGCCGGAGACACCACGAACUCUGUCUGAUCUAGUGAAGUCUGAGUUGAUUGUAUCGCAAUCAGUUAAAACUUUCAACAAUGGAUCUCUUGGUUCCGGCAUCGAUGAAGAACGCAGCGAAAUGCGAUAACUAGUGUGAAUUGCAGAAUUCCGUGAAUCAUCGAGUCUUUGAACGCACAUUGCGCCCCCUGGUAUUCCGGGGGGCAUGCCUGUCCGAGCGUCAUUGCUGCCCAUCAAGCACGGCUUGUGUGUUGGGUCGUCGUCCCCUCUUCGGGGGGGACGGGCCCCAAAGGCAGCGGCGGCACCGCGUCCGAUCCUCGAGCGUAUGGGGCUUUGUCACCCGCUCUGUAGGCCCGGCCGGCGCUUGCCGAACGCAAAACAACCAUUCUUUCCAGGUUGACCUCGGAUCAGGUAGGGAUACCCGCUGAACUUAAGCAUAUCAAUAAGCGGAGGAA
rnacentral:rRNA from 1 species